rnacentral:rRNA from 1 species
GACGAACGCUGGCGGCGUGCUUAACACAUGCAAGUCGAACGGAAAGGCCCUGCUUUUGUGGGGUGCUCGAGUGGCGAACGGGUGAGUAACACGUGAGUAACCUGCCCUUGACUUUGGGAUAACUUCAGGAAACUGGGGCUAAUACCGGAUAGGAGCUCCUGCUGCAUGGUGGGGGUUGGAAAGUUUCGGCGGUUGGGGAUGGACUCGCGGCUUAUCAGCUUGUUGGUGGGGUAGUGGCUUACCAAGGCUUUGACGGGUAGCCGGCCUGAGAGGGUGACCGGCCACAUUGGGACUGAGAUACGGCCCAGACUCCUACGGGAGGCAGCAGUGGGGUAUAUUGCACAAUGGGCGGAAGCCUGAUGCAGCAACGCCGCGUGCGGGAUGACGGCCUUCGGGUUGUAAACCGCUUUCGCCUGUGACGAAGCGUGAGUGACGGUAAUGGGUAAAGAAGCACCGGCUAACUCCGUG